UCCCAGUUCCAGGUUGUACCCCAGGGAUCCCAUCACAGAGCCCCACUUGUAGUGGCAGGCGGAUGGGUCCUGCCCUUCCCAAAGAGAUAGUGGUAGCAGUAUGGGCUUUCUUGUCCCCUGCCUCACAGGAGUGGCAGCAGGGAUCCUCCACCCCGCCAUGGUAGCAGCAAGUGCUCCUCCUCCCUCCCCCUGCCCAGUACUUACCUCUGCAGCCAAAGUGUACCUGGUUGGGUUGGGAGUGAACCAGGCCUGCUGCACUCUCCCACUGCUAUAUGCACAGCCCCCUGUUGGGGUUGUGUUGGCAGGGUCCGCCAGAGCAAUGGGUUUUGAACUUUAUACCCCUUAGUGUGUUAUCUAGGCCUUAGGUGUAGACCUUAUAAAGCCUUUGCAUUAGUUGGCCCUGGGUUGCCCCACAAGUUCAGUGGGUUGUUACAUGAUUUGGUUCAGACUUGCUUGAGGAAUCAUGCAUGUGUUUGUCUUACUCAUCAGUGCUAAGCCCUCUCACUGAAACAGAAUAUAUAUGUAGGGAGGGUGGAGACUCUAUUCAAGUCCACCCUUCCAGAUUUAGUGACUCUACUUGGACAAGGGCUGAAAGACCUGAGUAGCAGCAACAGAAAAGAAAGCUCAUGUCCAACUUGUUGAAGUUUUUAUGGGCUGGGUUAGGAAAGCCAGCUGCUGUCUUUCCUAUCUGUCUUUGCCUUGUUUGUGGCAGCUGUCCCCAGCAGAGAGGGACCAGUACAACUUAAGUCCUGGUUUGGGAAGCUCAAAAAUCGAAGAAAGGAUGGAGGAGGUGAUUGUUUUCUUUGGUUACCAUAUUCUGAGAUUUAUUAUUGUUGGCUAAUUAACUGCUGUUCUAUUUUUAUUUUCCAGAUCUCUGGGUUUGAAGGGCUGAUACUCAAACAGUUCCUACUUGACUAGAGCACUAAGUGACUACUUCCUUGUGAGCCAGCCAUGAACAGAGGAGGAAAGACUUUCAUGCUUGGUUUUAUUACCAUUUAUGCUACUUUUAUGCAGAAACCUCUUUUCAGAGCUUUUCCUUUUCUAAAUAAAUUUUACUUUUAUUGAA